UACGUAUGGAGCAAGCGUUAUCCGGAUUUACUGGGUGUAAAGGGAGUGUAGGUGGCCAGGCAAGUCAGAAGUGAAAGCCUGGGGCUCAACCCCGGGACUGCUUUUGAAACUGCAGGGCUAGAGUGCAGGAGGGGCGAGUGGAAUUCCUAGUGUAGCGGUGAAAUGCGUAGAUAUUAGGAGGAACACCAGUGGCGAAGGCGGCUUGCUGGACUGUAACUGACACUGAGGCUCGAAAGCGUGGGGAGCAAACAGG
rnacentral:rRNA from 1 species